AUUGAACGCUGGCGGCAUGCCUUACACAUGCAAGUCGAACGGUAACGCGGGGCAACCUGGCGACGAGUGGCGAACGGGUGAGUAAUGUAUCGGAACGUGCCCAGUUGUGGGGGAUAACUGCUCGAAAGAGCAGCUAAUACCGCAUACGACCUGAGGGUGAAAGCGGGGGAUCGCAAGACCUCGCGCAAUUGGAGCGGCCGAUAUCAGAUUAGGUAGUUGGUGGGGUAAAGGCCCACCAAGCCGACGAUCUGUAGCUGGUCUGAGAGGACGACCAGCCACACUGGGACUGAGACACGGCCCAGACUCCUACGGGAGGCAGCAGUGGGGAAUUUUGGACAAUGGACGCAAGUCUGAUCCAGCCAUGCCGCGUGCGGGAAGAAGGCCUUCGGGUUGUAAACCGCUUUUGUCAGGGAAGAAAAGGCUCCUUCUAAUAUAGGGGGCUCAUGACGGUACCUGAAGAAUAAGCACCGGCUAACUACGUGCCAGCCGCCGCAGUAACAC
rnacentral:rRNA from 1 species